rnacentral:rRNA from 1 species
AGGCCAACGUUUGUUGGUCGUCAACUUCUUAGAGGGACUAUUGACUAUUAGUCAAUGGAAGUUUGAGGCAAUAACAGGUCUGUGAUGCCCUUAGAUGUUCUGGGCCGCACGCGCGCUACACUGAUCAAGUCAACGAGUUUACAACCUUGGCCGGAAGGUCUGGGUAAUCUUUUGAAACUUGAUCGUGCUGGGGAUAGUCCAUUGCAAUUAUUGGACUUCAACGAGGAAUUCCUAGUAAGCGUGAGUCAUCAGCUCGCGUUGAUUACGUCCCUGCCCUUUGUACACACCGCCCGUCGCUACUACCGAUUGAAUGGCUUAGUGAGGCUUUCGGAUUGGACUUUGGCAGCUGGCAACAGCAGCUAGGGACUAAAAAGUCAUCCAAACUUGGUCAUUUAGAGGA